rnacentral:ncRNA from 1 species
UAGACUCUUACUGUGACGUCACAAUGUCAACAUGCAGGCCUGGAGUUCGAGACGGCAAUGUCCCUACCCACUAUCUAGCGAAACCACUGCCAAGGGAACGGGCUUGGAAAAAUUAGCGGGGAAAGAAGACCCUGUUGAGCUUGACUCUAGUCUGGCAUUGUAAGGAGACAUGAGAGGUGUAGCAUAAGUGGGAGAUGGCAACAUCGACGGUGAAAUACCACUACUUUCAUCGUUUCUUUACUUACUCGGUGAGGCGGAACGCGUGCGUCGUUCGCUCACGAGCGGCGACUGUCACGGUGUUCUUGAGCC